GGCUUAACACAUGCAAGUCGAGGGGUAGAAGGGGCUUGCUCCUUUGAGACCGGCGCACGGGUGCGUAACGCGUAUGCAAUCUGCCUUGUACAAAGGGAUAGCCCAGAGAAAUUUGGAUUAAUACCUUAUAGUAUAUUGAUGUGGCAUCACAUUAUUAUUAAAGAUUUAUCGGUACAAGAUGAGCAUGCGUCCCAUUAGCUAGUUGGUAUGGUAACGGCAUACCAAGGCAAUGAUGGGUAGGGGUCCUGAGAGGGAGAUCCCCCACACUGGUACUGAGACACGGCCCAAACUCCUACGGGAGGCAGCAGUGGGGAAUAUUGGACAAUGGGCGCAAGCCUGAUCCAGCCAUGCCGCGUGAGUGAUGAAGGCCUUAGGGUUGUAAAGCUC
rnacentral:rRNA from 1 species